UUGGGAGGGCAAGUCUGGUGCCAGCAGCCGCGGUAAUUCCAGCUCCAAUAGCGUAUAUUAAAGUUGUUGCAGUUAAAAAGCUCGUAGUUGAACUUCGGGGUUCACCCAUUGGUCAGGCUUAAUUGUCUGUACUGGCGAGAUGAAUCUCUACCCUCUGAGGAACUUUCAUGCCAUUUAGUUGGUGUGAUAGGAAAUCAGGACUGUUACUUUGAAAAAAUUAGAGUGUUUAAAGCAGGCUAACGUCUGAAUACAUUAGCAUGGAAUAAUGAAAUAGGACGGAUUGGUUCUAUUUCGUUGGUUUCUAGGAUCACCGUAAUGAUUAAUAGGGAUAGUUGGGGGCAUUAGUAUUCAAUUGUCAGAGGUGAAAUUCUUGGAUUUAUUGAAGACUAACUUCUGCGAAAGCAUUUGCCAAGGAUGUUUUCAUUAAUCAAGAACGAAAGUUAGGGGAUCGAAGACGAUCAGAUACCGUCGUAGUCUUAACCAUAAACUAUGCCGACUAGGGAUCGGACGAUGUUAAUUUUUUUAUGACUCAUUCGGCGCCUUACGGGAAAC
rnacentral:rRNA from 1 species